ACGGAAGGCAGCAGUGGGGAAUAUUGCGCCAUGGGGGAAACCCUGACGCAGCAACGCCGCGUGAGUGAAGAAGUAUUUCGGUAUGUAAAGCUCUAUCAUCGGGGACGAGAGUGACGGUACCCGAAUAAGAAGUCCCGGCUAACUACGUGCCAGCAGCCGCGGUAAUACGUAGGGGACAAGCGUUAUCCGGAUUUACUGGGUGUAAAGGGUGCGUAGGCGGCAAAGCAAGUCAGAAGUGAAAUCCCGCGGCUCAACUGCGGGACUGCUUUUGAAACGGUUAAGCUAGAGUACUGGAGGGGCAAGCGGAAGUCCUGGUGUAGCGGUGAAAUGCGUAGAUAUCAGGAAGAACACCGGAGGCGAAGGCGGCUUGCUGGACAGAGACGGACGCUGAGGCACGAAGGCGUGUGGAGCAAACAGGAUUAGAGACCCUGGUA
rnacentral:rRNA from 1 species